GAUGAACGCUGGCGGCGUGCCUAAUACAUGCAAGUCGAGCGAACAGACGAGGAGCUUGCUCCUCUGACGUUAGCGGCGGACGGGUGAGUAACACGUUGAUAACCUACCUAUAAGACUGGGAUAACUUCGGGAAACCGGAGCUAAUACCGGAUAAUAUAUUGAACCGCAUGGUUCAAUAGUGAAAGACGGUUUUGCUGUCACUUAUAGAUGGAUCCGCGCCGCAUUAGCUAGUUGGUAAGGUAACGGCUUACCAAGGCAACGAUGCGUAGCCGACCUGAAAGGGUGAUCGGCCACACUGGAACUGAGACACGGUCCAGACUCCUACGGGAGGCAGCAGUAGGGAAUCUUCCGCAAUGGGCGAAAGCCUGACGGAGCAACGCCGCGUGAGUGAUGAAGGUCUUCGGAUCGUAAAACUCUGUUAUUAGGGAAGAACAAAUGUGUAAGUAACUAUGCACGUCUUGACGGUACCUAAUCAGAAAGCCACGGCUAACUACGUG
rnacentral:rRNA from 1 species